GUACUCAUGGAUCAUAAAUACAAUUGGCUUCCCCUUAUUUUGCUGAGUUUUAUAUUUUAAUGACAAAUUCUUGUGAGAGACGGUCUUUUUGAGAAAUCAUUUUAAUUUGGCCGACUCAUUAUAUAUUUUUAAAAUUUAGUAAAUAGGCAUUAAGAAUGAUAAAAGUAGACAUUUACAAUAUUGAAAGGAGGCAAUAAGAAUACGGUAAAUAAGCAUUAAAAAUACAGUAAGAAGAUAUUAAUCUUUAAUGGAUUAGGCUUAAGAUACGUCUAAGACAGUCACUCAAGAGACUAGCUAUACAAAAAGUCCAUAUGAUUUUCCCACCUUCCAAAUGGUCUUCUGUUCUUCCCUUGCUUCUUUUUUGUUCUUCAAUUUCAGGUUAUAUUAUUCAUGUAAAACCCUAGAUUAUUAGUCCUAACAUGAAUUGCAAAGAUUUGAUGCAAUCAAUACAAUUGGUUCCAGCAAUCAGCUACGAUAAUUCCUGCUUUGAUACACAUCAUGUCCAUGUAAUGGAAUUCAUCAAUUUCAGAUAAACCAUACCCGUUUAUUUGCUCACAAGAUUGGGAUGUUAACAGUCUUAUAUACCACUAAGGGGCCGUUUGGUUCGCACAAGGGAAUCGGAAUGGAAUCAGGAAAGGGAAUGAAGGAGAAAGAAAUGGAUUCCCCUAAUUUAGCCUAGUUGUUUGGUUGUGUUCAGGAAACGGAAUGAACUGCUGAAUGAUUCCCUUUGUGACUGUUUGGUUCAAGCUAAGGAAUCAAAAUUUGAUUUUUUAAA